CCGAUUUGGAUAAACCGAUUCACUGCAAUGAUUCGGACUUACGUCACACAUUUGAGAAACGGAGAGAACCAGACCAUUUACGUAAAGUACCUCGUUAUUGUUAAAAAUUCGCAUUUAUGAACAUAACAGAACUACUGUCACGCUACAGAAACGUGUGGAUGUCUUGACUGUCUGAUGGGCUCUGUUGGUUCAUGUCCGGGGCUCCGGCCAGGAGUCAGAGGAUCAUCAUGGGGUCACUUCGCCAAGCUGUAGUAAUGACAACAACCGCAGUGGCUGUCUCGACCAGAUCCAGGCCCUGCCUGCCAUCACCACACACUCCAAAACAGCAGAAAGGAAGGUCUUCAGGUCAUUGUUUAAUAAACAAUCCAGUG